rnacentral:rRNA from 1 species
AACAGGAUUAGAUACCCUGGUAGUCCACGCCCUAAACGAUGUCUACUAGUUGUCGGGUCUUAAUUGACUUGGUAACGCAGCUAACGCGUGAAGUAGACCGCCUGGGGAGUACGGUCGCAAGAUUAAAACUCAAAGGAAUUGACGGGGACCCGCACAAGCGGUGGAUGAUGUGGAUUAAUUCGAUGCAACGCGAAAAACCUUACCUACCCUUGACAUGUCAGGAAUCCUUGAGAGAUCGAGGAGUGCCCGAAAGGGAGCCUGAACACAGGUGCUGCAUGGCUGUCGUCAGCUCGUGUCGUGAGAUGUUGGGUUAAGUCCCGCAACGAGCGCAACCCUUGUCAUUAGUUGCUACGAAAGGGCACUCUAAUGAGACUGCCGGUGACAAACCGGAGGAAGGUGGGGAUGACGUCAAGUCCUCAUGGCCCUUAUGGGUAGGGCUUCACACGUCAUACAAUGGUACAUACAGAGGGCCGCCAACCCGCGAGGGGGAGCUAAUCCCAGAAAGUGUAUCGUAGUCCGGAUCGCAGUCUGCAACUCGACUGCGUGAAGUUGGAAUCGCUAGUAAUCGCGGAUCAGCAUGUCGCGGUGAAUACGUUCCCGGGUCUUGUACACACCGCCCGUCACACCAUGGGAGCGGGUUUUACCAGAAGUAGGUAGCUUAACCGCAAGGAGGGCGCUUACCACGGUAGGAUUCGUGACUGGGGUGAAGUCGUAACAAGGUAACC